rnacentral:rRNA from 1 species
CGAAGCGGAGAGGGCACACCCGGACCCAUACCGAACCCGGCAGUUAAGCUCUCCAGCGCCGAUGGUACUUCCCUGGUAACGGGGCGGGAGAGUAGGUCAUCGCCAAGU